CUGGCCUUCUGCGUCUGCUGGCGCCUGCAGGGCGUCGUCUCCGACGUGACGGCGGCCGCGCGGCGUUUCCCUUGGGCUCUGCCCUGCGCAGCCCUGGUCCGAGCUGGCCAGUAAGGCCCCGCGCCCUCCCCGCCUCGCCGCGAGGAUCCACCGCGGCCGCCCAGGCUGUUGGCCUUGUCCUCACGGCUCGGAGAUAAGCCGGCGCUGGUCACACCGCGAAACCCCUGUUCGCACUGAGACCCCGCUCGGGAUCAUGCGCACAGGCCAGGGCGCAGCAAGCCUUGGAGAAGCUACCUGCACAGCCCAUUCCUUGCGCGAGCUUCGCAUCUUCUGCCUCAGUUUCCUUACCUGUAAAGGGGUGAUCAUAGGACAUCCUUGGUCACACCUUUGUGGGACCCACCUGGGCUAGAGCGCGGUACCCGCCCAGGACAGUGACUGCUGCUGGAAACCGUCGUGGCACUGGGGUCACCUCCCCAAGGAGGAAGUGGGCUUCCUGCAAGCAGAGCUGUGCCCAGGACCAUGCCAGCCCAUGACAGGCAUUCACCCUGUUCUAACCAGUGAACAAAGGGGAGGAGUAAUUUUUUCAACAAAUGGUGCUGGGAUCUUGCAGGUACCUGAACAUAUGCAAGCUCCUGGAGGGCAGCAUGCCCAGGGAGGGCAGGUAAGCUCUGUGCCCACACCCCCACAACAAACACACACACACAUAUACAUACCCCACACACACAUACCCAACACACGCACACACCCAACACACGCACACAUACCCAACGCACACACUGAACACACACAUACACACACCCAUCAUAACACACACACACACACCCAACACACACCUACACAACCCCCAGACACACACACUCAACACACACACAUACCCAACACACACACAUACCCAACACACAUCCCAGCAUACACAGCAUACACACAUACCCAACACACAUCCCAGCAUACACAGCAUACACACAUACCCAACACAACACACACCAACACACACAACACACAUAACACACUUCCAACACACACAUACACAUACCCAACACACAACAUACACAUAUACACCCCCAAUACACACAACACAUGCCCAGCGCACACAACACACACAUAUACACACCAAACACACACACACGCCUAA
rnacentral:lncRNA from 1 species